UACAGAGGGUGCAAGCGUUGUUCGGAAUUAUUGGGCGUAAAGGGCGCGUAGGCGGUUCGGCAAGUCUCUAGUGAAAUCUCUGGGCUCAACUCAGAGUCUGCUGGGGAAACUGCCGGGCUUGAGUGUGGGAGAGGAGAGUGGAAUUCCCGGUGUAGCGGUGAAAUGCGUAGAUAUCUGGAGGAAUACCGGUGGCGAAGGCGGCAUCCUGGACCGACAUUGACGCUGAGGAGCGAAAGCUAGGGGAGCAAACGGG
rnacentral:rRNA from 1 species